AGUAUUACAUGUGGAGAUUGGUGGUCCUGCCUGUGGCGGGUGGCUUGGAGAUUUAUGAUCCUUGAGGUCCCUUCCAACCCAGGCUGUUCUGUGAUUCUGUGAUCUCCUUCAAGAUGAUCUGAUCCAUAACCUUCUCUGGAAUCAAAAUUCAACUGACAGGCCUGUAGCUCUCCAGAUCCUCCUCAUAAUGCUUCUUGUGGAUGGGAAUCACCCUAACAAACCUCAUGUUCUCUGGAAUCUUUCUGGUUGACCAGGAAUGCUGAUAGGUGGUGGAAAGAGACUUGACAUUCACAUCUAACAGCUCCCUCAGCACCCUUGGAUAGAUUCCACCAGGCUCCAUGGACUUGUGACAAUCUAGAUGGAGUCUCUGACAGUUUCUAAAUGUUUCAACUUGAAUCGUGGGGGUGUUUAUUCUGCUCACCAUUCCUGGACACUGGUAGGGUGAAUCCCUCUGGAUUCUCUGCUGAAGAGUAAAGGAAUCCAGGAAGGCUGGAUGUUUCUCAAGAAUGAAGUCUGUCUCUGAGUGCCCUAAGAUCAGCCAGAGGGGGAGAAGACCAUAGAAGAGCAUAGAUGAACAGGGAACUUUUCUUGAGACCCCAGAAAAAAAGAGUCUACCACGUGUAAAAGAAGAUAUGGGCAACUCAGGAAGAGUAUAAGGAAGUUGCUAGAAUAUGCACGGAGAAAAUUAGAAAGGCAAAAGUCCAGCUCAAAGUCAAGCUGGCCACUGUUGUAAAAGAUAAUAACAUUUUUUUUUUUUACAAAUAUAUUGCCAGUAAGAGGAGGGCUAAAGAGAAUCUCCAUCCUUUUUUGGACGAGCGGGGAAUGUGACCACUGAGGAUAAGAAGAAAGCUGAGAUUAUCAAUGCCUUCUUUACAUCUGUCUUUAAACGUCAGGCCAGUUAUACUCAGGUUUUCCCCAUACCUGAAAGUCUGAGAUGGGGAGCAGAAUAAACCCUGGACCAUGGUGCACACUCCAAGAGUAGAGGUAAGUCUUUCUCAUUUUCCACCUUUGCUACUGGGGCAGUGGACUCUUGCUAGAGAGAAGGUACAGUGUCUGAAAUUUUAAAGCCAUGACCCUGAGUGAAGGCAUCAGGUACCCAUAACCUCACUCCUCAUCCUCUUUAGAAACUCAUCUGUGCUUAUGUGGGAGUCUUAGAUACUGCAAACAGCUUACCAUGGAAGAGAAAGAAAGUACAAGACUGUUUACAUUAAACAAGCUCUGAAGUAAAUGCACAAAUUUGUAUUUUGCUUGCUUUGUUCACAUUAUUUGGCCCAUCAGCCUGUGAAUUGCAUCAAUUUAGACUCACUCUCAUUUAUACGAAGGGCACUUCACAUCACUCUGGUAAUAGAAAGAGGCAUUAAAAUGGCAGUAAUUUAUAUUUACAUUAUUUUUAUGGCCCUGUUGCUAUUAAAAUGGUGUGAAGUGUCAUUAAGAGAAGCCAAGAUCAGGCUCCUGAGGGUCUUUACUCUCAGACUGCCAGGGAUUACAAUUAAGAGCCUAAAUGACUAAGGGAGUGUGAGUAAAAAAAAACAUUUAAGAAAGGCAUCAGUGGCAGAAACUGUAUUUUAGAAAGGCAAGGAAAUUGUGUUGGUUUAAAUUUGUUAAACUCACUUAUAAACACAUGGGACAGAAUAUCUGCUGGAAUAAUGCCAUUUAUUUGUCUGGAAGCUGUUAAUCUCUUUCACAAGUCUAAUACUGUAAAAAAUAUUGCUGGCAUCAUAAGGCUGUUUACCAGCAUACAUAACAUAAGCAAAUGUGGAAUAUAGAUAUUUCCUUAGUGGAAGCAUAUUUAUUUAAUCUGAAAUCUCAGAAGAGAUGUCAAAGAUUUAAUAGAUAGAAAAUUAAUGAAGUUGGGGAUGGAACACUCUUCCUGCUGAUCUGAAAUGGAACAGUAUUGGAAAAGGCUCUCCUGUAGGAUGGUCACAUAGACCCAUAGUCCUGGGUCUCUUUCAAAUUUACUGUGUCUUCAUGUGUGUCUUCUGUCCCUUAGUAUAAGCUGGAUGCACAAAAGAGCUCAGUAUUCAGAGUCUGACUGAAUAAAAAUCACAAAAUCAACACAAGAAAAACCCUUUUGGUAUCCUAAAAAUAACUGGACUGUGAUAUAACUACACAAAAAGUCACUGUGCUAAUAAAUUUCACUGUUCAUCAAAAGACAUCCUUGUCUUACAACAAAAUUGGUCCAUGAAGCAUGCCUAUAAUUCAUGAACGUUAGUUAAAUCACUAAAAACAAACCAACAAGAAACAACAAAACCCAGAAAACUCUCUGUAUGCUAUAAUUAGAAUUCAGUGCAGUCCUAAUAUGGCAGGGUUCUGUUUUUCUGUUUUUUUCUGUUUGUUCGUUUGUUUUUGUUUUUGUUUUUUAAUAGGGGAAGUUGUUGAAACCAAAUCUUUUAAUUAUCAGUUGUAUAGUCACAUUUCAUAGGCAUCAGAGACACACCUAUGCAUCUAUGUAGCAACAAGAAGAUUUUUUAAUAUUUUUUUCUGAAUAAUUCUAAUGACAUAUGUACACUUUUCAGUCACAUGGAGGUUCUGCAUAAAUUUCUGCAUGCAAAUCUAUUUCAGUAAACAUUCUUACAAUAAAUGAAGAUUCUUUUGGAGAAUGUAAAGAGGAAAAGACAGCCUUAGCUAGUGCUUGAAAUGAGACAACCUCAGAUAUUCCUAUCUACCUUCAAGAAGGAGUAGCCUGAGUGGUUUCUCUGUUAAGAUACCUUGCAGCAUAGAUUAUGUUCUGCAGUCUGAUGAGUUCUCAAUACAGUCUGUGGGAAUAUUGUUAGUGGCUCACCUGUGCAAGCAAAAGAGAACUAUGCUUUCCUCAGCAAGAAGAUAAGGAUGCAGUAGUCCUAAAUACAAUUAGGAUUUGGACUUUCUUUGCGUCUCUAAUGCCUCUGAAAGGAACAGACUCCCUCGAGAGUUGGGCAGUGGGACCCUCCAGUCCUUGCCCCUUUAGAUGCUAGGUUUGUGAGCAAUGAGUAGGUGUAAAAUAUGUUCCUGUGCUUCAAGGGGGAACAAAAUUAUAAUAAAUGCUUUCAUUUUAAACUAUCACAGGAAGUGUUGUCCAACUCCCGGACUUUUUAUCACUUUCCUAAAACUGAAAAGUUGUGUUGUAAGAAAUCACUUACAGCAAAAACUGCUUCAGCUCUGAUGAACAAUUAAUAAACUUGCUGUAUCUUUUAUUUAUUUUUUUUUUUAUUGUGGUUGUUUUCAAUCACUGUACUCCACGGGAUUCUUGGACUAUUCCACUAUUCUCAGAUUAAAAAUGUAGGACAAUGAAGUACU
rnacentral:lncRNA from 1 species